GAUGAACGCUGGCGGCGUGCCUAAUACAUGCAAGUCGAGCGAACGGACGAGAAGCUUGCUUCUCUGAUGUUAGCGGCGGACGGGUGAGUAACACGUGGAUAACCUACCUAUAAGACUGGGAUAACUUCGGGAAACCGGAGCUAAUACCGGAUAAUAUUUUGAACCGCAUGGUUCAAAAGUGAAAGACGGUCUUGCUGUCACUUAUAGAUGGAUCCGCGCUGCAUUAGCUAGUUGGUAAGGUAACGGCUUACCAAGGCAACGAUGCAUAGCCGACCUGAGAGGGUGAUCGGCCACAAUGGAACUGAGCCACAGUCCAGACUCCUACGGGAGGCAGCAGUAGGGAAUCUUCCGCAAUGGGCGAAAGCCUGACGGAGCAACGCCGCGUGAGUGAUGAAGGUCUUCGGAUCGUAAAACUCUGUUAUUAGGGAAGAACAUAUGUGUAAGUAACUGUGCACAUCUUGACGGUACCUAAUCAGAAAGCCACGGCUAACUACGUG
rnacentral:rRNA from 1 species